AUUCUAUGGUAUUUCAUGAAAAAUAAAAAGGUUGAUUUGAUCUCAAUUUUUUUUUAUAUUGAGGACUAGUACUAUGGUCUGUUGAGAAAUAUUAUAAACUUUUCUUUAGGGAAGGUCUAAAAAUAGAACAAAAUCUUAUUAGCCUAGAAGAAUUUUAGCAUGGUUCUGUUAUAAGGCAAGUGAAUGAAGGAAAAGUAGCUUCUGGGCCAUUGUAAUCAAGUGUUUUGUCUGCUUUUUAAAAGACCAGUCAUUAAUUGCUUAGGCGUGGGUUCUAAAUCAGAAGAUGUCAGAAAGUGAGCUCUCAGGAUUUGCGUUCAGCUGCAAAUAUUGCAGCAAUAUUGGGUCAGCAGCAAAUAUUGCAAUGUGAAUGAAUCUUCCAUAAGUUUACACGAAAAUUUUAACUUCUGAACUACUGUAAUUACCUCAUAACUUAUAUACAGUUCAAAUCACCAAAAUAAAUGAAGGCAAGGUAUUCUCAUGCAUUGUAAGAGUUUAGUUAUGUUUACAUUAUCACACAAAGAUUAUUUUUUGUUUUUAUUCGGCAGCCUCCACCUCAGAUAUAUGACAAGCAGUUGGAUGAAAGAGAACACACAAUCGAUGAAUGGAAAGAACUUAUCUACAAGGAAGUAAUGAACUCAGAAGAAAAGACUAAAAAUGGCGUAGUAAAAGGACAGCCUUCUCCUUCAGGUGCAGCAGUGAACAGCAGUGAGAGUCUCCCUCCAUCCUCGUCUGUCAAUGACAUCUCCUCCAUGUCCACCGACCAGACCCUGGCAUCUGACACUGACAGCAGCCUGGAAGCCUCGGCAGGACCCCUGGGUUGUUGCAGGUGACUAGCCGCCUGCCUGCGAAACCCAGCGUUCUUCAGGAGAUGAUGUGAUGGAACACACACACACACGCAGACACUCACGCACACACACAAUUGCAGACACACAACAUCAAGAAAACAGCAAGGGAGAGAAUCCAAGCCUAAAAUUAAAUAAAUCUUUCAGCCUGCUUCUUCCCCAGGGUUCUGUAUUGCAGCUAAGCUCAAAUGUAUAUUUAACUUCUAGUUGCUCUUGCUUUGGUCUUCUUCCAAUGACGCUUACUACAGAAAGCAAAUCAGACACAAUUAGAGAAGCCUUUUCCAUAAAGUGUAAUUUUAAUGGCUGCAAAACCGGCAACCUGUAACUGCCCUUUUAAAUGGCAUGACAAGGUGUGCAGUGGCCCCAUCCAGCAUGUGUGUGUCUCUAUCUUGCAUCUACCUGCUCCUUGGCCUAGUCAGAUGGAUGUAGAUACAGAUCCGCAUGUGUCUGUAUUCAUACAGCACUACUUACUUAGAGAUGCUACUGUCAGUGUCCUCAGGGCUCUACCAAGACAUCAUGCACUGGGGUACCACAUGGUCCAUUUCAUGUGAUCUAUUACUCUGACAUAAACCCAUCUGUAAUAUAUUGCCAGUAUAUAAGCUGUUUAGUUUGUUAAUUGAUUAAACUGUAUGUCUUAUAAGAAAACAUGUAAAGGGGGAAUAUACGGGGGGAGUGAGCUCUCUCAG
rnacentral:sRNA from 1 species